rnacentral:rRNA from 1 species
GACGAACCGUGCGAACGUUGUUCGGAAUCACUGGGCUUAAAGGGCGCGUAGGCGGGCCGCAAAGUCAGGGGUGAAAGCCUCCAGCUCAACUGGAGAAGUGCCUCUGAUACUGGCGGCCUCGAGGGAGAUAGGGGCGUGCGGAACUUCCGGUGGAGCGGUGAAAUGCGUAGAUAUCGGAAGGAACACCGGUGGCGAAAGCGGCGCGCUGGAUCUCUUCUGACGCUGAGGAGCGAAAGCCAGGGGAGCAAACGGG